rnacentral:rRNA from 1 species
UACGUAGGAGGCAAGCGUUAUCCGGAUUUACUGGGCGUAAAGGGCGUGUAGGCGGUUUGUUAAGUUUGGCGUGAAAGCUCUCGGCUAAACUGGGAGAGGUCGUUGGAGACUGGCGAACUAGAGGACGAAAGAGGAGAGUGGAAUUCCGGGUGUAGUGGUGAAAUGCGUAGAUAUCCGGAGGAACACCAGUGGCGAAGGCGGCCCUCUGGGCCAUACCUGACGCUGAAGCGCGACAGCCAGGGGAGCAAAC